rnacentral:rRNA from 1 species
GAUGAACGCUGGCGGCGUGCUUAACACAUGCAAGUCGAACGGAAAGGCUCCUGCUUGCAGGGGUACUCGAGUGGCGAACGGGUGAGUAACACGUGGGUGAUCUGCCCUUCACUUCGGGAUAAGCCUGGGAAACUGGGUCUAAUACCGGAUAGGACGAUGGUUUGGAUGCCAUUGUGGAAAGUUUUUCGGUGUGGGAUGAGCUCGCGGCCUAUCAGCUUGUUGGUGGGGUAAUGGCCUACCAAGGCGGCGACGGGUAGCCGGUCUGAGAGGGUGUACGGCCACACUGGGGGGGAGCGACGGCCGAGACUCCUGCAGGAGGCCGCAGUGGGGAAUGUUGGGGGAUGGGCGAGAGGCUGAGCGAGGAAGGCGGGGUGUAUGCAGAAGGCCUUCGGGUUGUAGAGCGCUGUUGUCCGGAAAGAAAUACAUGGCCCGAAUACGGGCGGGGGAUGACGGUACCGGAAGAAUAAGCACCGGCUAACUACGUG